AUUGAACGCUAGCGGCAGGCCUAACACAUGCAAGUCGAGCGAGCGGCGGACGGGUGAGUAAUGUAUGGGGACUGCCCGAUAGAGGGGGAUAACUACUGGAAACGGUAGCUAAUACCGCAUACUAUCGGAUAACCCAUAUGGGAUUAGCUAGGAGGUGGGGUAAAGGCUCACCUAGGCGACUAUCUCUAGCUGGUCUGAGAGGAUGAUCGGCCAAACUGGGACUGAGACACGGCCCAGACUCCUACGGAGGCAGCAGGGGGUAAUAUGGCACUAUGGGCGCAAGCCUGAUGCAGCCAUGCCGCGUGUAUGAAGAAGGCCUUAGGGUUGUAAAGUACUUUCAGCGGGGAGGCGUUACCCGCAGAAGAAGCACCGGCUAACUCCGUGCCAGCAGCCGCGGUAAUUC
rnacentral:rRNA from 1 species